rnacentral:misc_RNA from 1 species
GGGGAAUACUAACGAAGGGCAUCUGGGGUCCACCUCCCACCCGUGUUUAUUUUACCUUGUUGCUUCGGCGGGCCCGCCUUAACUGGCCGCCGGGGGGCUUACGCCCCCGGGCCCGCGCCCGCCGAAGACACCCUCGAACUCUGUCUGAAGAUUGUAGUCUGAGUGAAAAUAUAAAUUAUUUAAAACUUUCAACAACGGAUCUCUUGGUUCCGGCAUCGAUGAAGAACGCAGCGAAAUGCGAUACGUAAUGUGAAUUGCAAAUUCAGUGAAUCAUCGAGUCUUUGAACGCACAUUGCGCCCCCUGGUAUUCCGGGGGGCAUGCCUGUCCGAGCGUCAUUGCUGCCCUCAAGCACGGCUUGUGUGUUGGGCCCCGUCCUCCGAUCCCGGGGGACGGGCCCGAAAGGCAGCGGCGGCACCGCGUCCGGUCCUCGAGCGUAUGGGGCUUUGUCACCCGCUCUGUAGGCCCGGCCGGCGCUUGCCGAUCAACCCAAAUUUUUAUCCAGGUUGACCUCGGAUCAGGUAGGGAUACCCGCUGAACUUAAGCAUAUAUAACCGGGGAAGGAAAUUAUUAAAAUAAAAAAAUU